GCUCUAUAUUUCUUAUGGUUUUGCGAUUGAGGUAAGCCAUUUGGUAAAAUAUGGAAUGGAUAGUGAAUUUAGAGUACGGUUUAUGGAAGGUUAUUACAUUGGUUUGAGAUGUGAUUUGAUUGGUUAUGGGGAGUGUAGGAGAGGUCACGAUACAUCCUUGUUAAUUCUGUUUACUGAGCCUCAUGGCUCUGAGCUUACUGAUAAGGGGUGGGUCUGGCUCCAAGGAAAAAUUGUUAUUGGUCAUGGAAAAAAUGUGCGGUUUGGUGAGAUAUAUCAGGGAAAGAAAGUGGUUAAUCACAUUGUACAAACCAUGGUUCGAUUAUAUUAUUUGGAGAUGGCUAUGGUUGCCAGGGACUGAGACUUGCCCAAUCACGUUUCGACUGGCAUCAGGAGAGUUAUAAGGGAGGAAUCAGUCUGAAUGGUGUCUCUUUAAACACAUUCACUUGCCUGGUGGUAAGGAGGUAUCAACGAGAGAACCUUCAAACAUUCG
rnacentral:lncRNA from 1 species